CCCUGGGGGUCCUGCAGAGUACCUGUGCUGACCUGAGCCCACGAGGGGGGCCAGUAGCAGCCCCUAAACCACUUCCUCAGAGAAAAGUAAAGUAAUAUUCUUACCAAGAGAAGGCUUGCUGCCCCUGGCCACAGCCUGCCUUUGGAGGGCACUAGGCCAGCAGGUCAGAGUAGGAACAGGUUCUGGUGAUCCCUGAGUUUGCGGGACUGCCCUGAGAUGCUACAGAG
rnacentral:lncRNA from 1 species